rnacentral:rRNA from 1 species
UAAGAGAAUCAUUUGCCUUUGGUGGCUAAUAGGCUUUUUCUGUGUUUAUACAUGGCAUUAUAAAAGAGAAGGAAGGGUUAUAGAUAUUUCUUAUAAAUAAUUUAAUAUUUAUUGUAAGGUGAGUCUACAUUUUUUGAGAAGUUUUUGAAAAAAAAAGAAAAUAAAUUCCGCUGUUCAGUAAAAGAUUUUGAAAAGCACUGAAAGGUGGUUUUAGCAACAGAAGUAAGAAGAGAUAAAUAAAGUGCCAGCAAUCGCGGUUAAACUUUUUCUUCGAGUUUAUUUGUUCGUUGGGACUAGUAGAAAAUUAAAAAAAGAUAAAUUAAUUAGUGAGCUAGUGGUUAAAUACGGCACAACAUUGAAAUAUUUUUUGUUCUUUUAAUUUUGGGUCUAGAAAGGCUGUUAAUUCGACGUGGAUUUGAGACCCUCUUAGUAAUGCUGUUUUGCUUAACCUACGAGAAUUACGAACUAAGUGUUUAAAACUCAAAAAGGUUGGCGGCAUUUUGUAUCAGUUAGGGAAACUUGGUGGUUAAUACGAUGAUCCUCGUUAUACUUCACCUUUACUUACAAGGUACUUCUUAUACCGCCGUUGUAGUCUAUCUAUCUUAAAGAGUGUAGAGAUGGGUAUGAACACUAAAAGAUUUUAUUUAAAUGUGUGAAUUCAGGUAGACGUGAGAGAUGUAAAGGGCUUAACUGAGUUACAAUUGUUUUUCAUUGUUGGAGGUUGUCGUGAAACGGACAAUCGAGAUAGAACUUGUUAGUAAAACUAAAUUAUAGAGAUAGUUUGAAUUGAAAAAUCGAAAUGCGUACAAACCGCCCGGCACCCUAUAAUAGUUAACGGUAGGUAAGUCGUAACAAGGUGAUUGUAGUAGAAACUGCUGUUAAUAAUAUA